UACGGAGGGUGCAAGCGUUGUUCGGAAUUAUUGGGCGUAAAGCGCGUGUAGGCGGCUCUCUAAGUCUGGUGUGAAAUCCCGGAGCUUAACUCCGGAACUGCACUGGAUACUGGAGAGCUAGAGGGCGAGAGAGGAUGGUGGAAUUCCUGGUGUAGGGGUGAAAUCCGUAGAUAUCAGGAGGAACAUCAGUGGCGAAGGCGGCCAUCUGGCUCGCACCUGACGCUGAGACGCGAAAGCGUGGGGAGCAAACAGG
rnacentral:rRNA from 1 species